rnacentral:rRNA from 1 species
UACGUAGGGUGCAAGCGUUGUCCGGAAUUAUUGGGCGUAAAGAGCUCGUAGGUGGCCUGUCGCGUCGGCUGUGAAAACUCGGGGCUCAACUCCGAGCUUGCAGUCGAUACGGGCAGGCUAGAGUUCGGCAGGGGAGACUGGAAUUCCUGGUGUAGCGGUGAAAUGCGCAGAUAUCAGGAGGAACACCGGUGGCGAAGGCGGUGGGCUGGGCCGGUACUGACGCUGAGGAGCGAAAGCGUGGGGAGCGAACAGG